CAUCGUCGUUGAUAUACAAGGCCUGAAGGAUAAAUAUAAUAGCUUCGUGCCCAAAGAAAUUGCCGUGGUCUCUGUGAAAACAUCUUACUUAGCACACUGGAUCAUAUCACCGCCUCACGCUUAUAGCGUACUGCCUCCUAGUGUGAAACGACAAAACACGUGGCUAAAGUGCAAUCAUCACGGUAUAGACUGGUCCGAGGGUGAAACACCUUUACGUGCGGUCGAAGCUACAGCAAAUCGCGGUACAAUCCGAUCGCCUGUUUACAAGAGGGUCUGAUGCAGCCGCAUAUUUGACACAGCUAACAGACUGCUUCGUUAUAAAUCUAGAGGAGGACAAAGAACCACCGUCUCGUAACCUCCCCGAGAGCAGUACGUUUUGCAUAUUUCACGGCUUACUACACAAAAAUACCUCGUUCAAGUGUGCUCUCAACGGCGCUGUGAGAUUAAAAAAAUGGCUUUCUCAUAACGAUCGCUCCAUCGCCUUGUGGGAGUACAGAACCACCACGUCCUGGACUGCUGGUUUAUUAACGGUGGCGCAGCGGGAAGAGGGAAAAGCAACCGGUAUCAAAAAAUCAUCCUCGUAAAGACGCGCAUUGCCGCUGAUCUCAUCCUCACAUUUCAUUAUCUUAUAAAUGCUGACUUAUGCUAGCGACGGUCGGGGCCAUGGUAAACCAAUACCUCCGCCAAGGUAUUGUCGGAUUUCUCCCAUCACUGCCACCCUGUGGCAAUGGGGGAGAUGCUGCAUCAAAAGAUUGUUGUCAGCUCUUUUCUGCAUUCGAGGUAGGGAUAUGAAUCUACCAAACAGGAGGUUUAAAUCAUUUGAGCUCUCUGAUGAUCAGACAGUGCUCCCAAGUCGCCGCAUGAGUAAACGACGUGAAUUGAAAGUACGCUUAGAUAUCUUUUUGCAUGAUAUUGCAACGUUUAAAGCCAGAAUACGCGACAUUUCAGAACUCCGCGCUUUAACAGUGGCCAUAAAAAAAACUCGAUCUGAACAAUCGAUUUCACGCUCGUCAAUCAAACAGGCCUUUUGGAGUCCUUCCUCCUCGUCAAAAAACUGACCGAGCUUGAACUCGCCAAAGAAUACCGCAUCACCUGUAUCCGUGUCGUCGAAACGAAAUGGGGCAAGCGAAUUGCCAUGGACGUGGACAGCACAUUUACAUGCUUCCUACCGACAAGAUUCGUCAAAGCUUUCGAAGAUAAGAGCAGUUUAUUCCAGCAGAUGUGCGAGGCAGCCUCAAACAAAAAAUUAAUCAUGCUGUACCACGGCACGAAACUCAACAGACUGGAGUUCAAACCUGCUGAAGAAUGAUCAUAAACAGCAUCGUCUGACCAUCUAAGCAGCACACCCCGUAAACCACCGCUCCAUGGUCAUCGACGCCGUCGUGAAAACGAACGAAAAACCAAAAAUAUCCACAAAAAAUACCCCCCUACUACUAUAUGUAUUGUGAAUUAUGUGCAAUAUUAUAACUAAAAUUGUAAAAUUAAUAAGAGCUGAAAUAUAUAUAUAUACGGAGAAAAAUAAAAAAAAAGGUGGUGCGCUAUGGUGACACGCUCAUCCCCCCUCCGCACACCCGCAAACCUCUCACCCACAACGCCGGCCGCUCGGCCUAGUGGGGGAAAGGAGUGGGGAUAGGAGUGGGGGUCGCCAUAGUGCACCACCUACUACUAAUGAACAAUCGGGCUUCAGAAGGAACUAUUCGUGUGAAACGGCAAUACAAAACACAUUAAUAAAAUGGAAAAACAGUAUGGAUGAAGGAAACGUAACAGGAGUUGUAUUUUUAGACUUUAAAAGGGCCUUUGAAACUAUAAGUAGAAGGACGUUACUGGAAAAAUUGUCGGAGUAUGGAAUAACAGGAACCGUACAUAGAUAGAUAGAAUCAUAUCUCACAACACGUACACAGCAAGUACAAUAUGGAGAGUAUAUGUCAAAUAAAAUAGAAAAUGAGCAUGGCGUCCCGCAAGGGUCAGUCCUAGGACCUUUACUCUUCAUACUGUACAUAAAUGAUAUAAAGAAACAACUUGAAUACUGUGAUUGUAAAAUGUUCGCUGAUGAUACAGUAAUAUUUGUGAGUGGAAAAUGUACACAACAAGUGGAGAGAAAAUUAAACUAUGAUUUAGAUAAAGUAGUUAGAUGGAUAAAUGGAAACUCUCUGAGGCUAAAUAUGACAAAGACUAAAUUUAUGAUAAUACAUGAUAUGCGGAAAAGGAAUGUUGUAAACACAUGUGAGAUUGAAAUAGAAAGGACAAAAAUAGCUGAAGUAAGUGAAAUAAAAUAUCUCGGAAUAAUUAUAGAUAACAAUUUAAAUUUUAAUAAACAAGCAAUGUAUAUAAUCAAAAAAACAGCAAAGAAAGUAAAUUUUAUCUAUCGAAUCAACAAAAUUGUGUCGCGAAAUACCCUGCUGACUAUUUAUAAAACAAUUAGUCAGCCACAUUUUGAAUAUUGUAACACGCUAAUGAUAAACUUUAGUAAACAAUGGAUCGAAAGAUUACAAAAAAUACAGAAUAGGGUAGUAUAAUUAGUAUUUAUACAUAAAAUAAAAAGAGGCUUGAUGCCGCGAUACUUAAUAGAAGAAAUAACAUUAAUGGGAGAAACGCAUAGUUAUAACACACGACAACGAGAGAACAUAAAAAUGAAAAAAAAAAAUAGGACAAAAACUGCGCAAAAAUGUAUUACGUACACAGGUUUUGACAUAUACAACAAACUACCAAAUGUGAUAAAAGAAAUAGAGAAUAUUGAUGUAUUUAAAGAAAGACUGAAGCAGUACAUAAAGAGGGAAAAUGCGAUAUUGGAUUAAAUCGAUAAGUAAUAAUUAGUAAUUAGUAAGAUUGUACAACAAUGUAUUAAGAGUAGCCGAAGGCUAAUUAAAUGGAAUCAAUCAA